AGCGGUAAAUAGAUAACCUAACCUAAAUCUAGAUACCCCCUAAUUUAACUGUUAACCUAAUUAAACUAUGUGCAGCCGUCGGCAAAUUUUUGUUGGCCAACGAGAUCCAGAAGAUCUAGAAGGUUGGACGCUCAUGAUGCAGACCAUCGAGGCUAAUCUAAUCUUUCCGGGGCACGAGAACCGGGGCAAAACGUGCAAUUACGCUGUCCACCGUGCACGGUGCAGACAUGCAGUGGAAAUGGAUACCGUGACGUGAGUCGUGCCGUAGAUUCGAGUCGAGAAGCUUUUAAUCGAGAAAAGUCGAGACUCGAGCCGGACUUUGGCGAGUUUCCAAAGGGAGACCAAAGGGAAGCCAACACCACGCGCACCGUAGAUGCACACGCUUCCGAGACGCGAUAUUAAUUGAGACUCUGUACCGAUGGCGCGAUGAAUGGCCGGCGCAGGAGCGCGCCGCGUCUACCAAUUAGACCGGCAGCUCGCACAAAAGAGCAGCUUUGAUUUGCUCGCUCCGGUCCAAUUAGCUACUUUCUUUCGUGUCCCCCUUCCCCCUCCCUUCCUUCUCGUCAAUGCUAAUCCGCUCCUUCGGCCGGGCGAGUUAGUUUUUCGCCCGGGCCCAGCGAAGAAUAUUUCCCCCUCGGAAAAAGUCGAGAACCCGCGAGAGUGAAACGAAAACCUGGCUUCGAAGCGAAAAAAAAAAAAAAAGAACACGAGGCAAGACGGAGAAUCACCGACUUGGUUCAAUUUAGGUCAUUCUCAUUAUCCCUCUUAUCGAUCUCUAUACAUUGUACUUGCACGUCCUAUUCUGAAACGGCUAGCUGGAUACUUUCAUUCGGAUAUGAUGCAGCGCAGCUGAGCAAGAAAAAAAAAGAAAAAAUAAUCGGAUCGAAACGAAUUGGCCUUUUGCGAGAUAGCUCUACGGGUGAGAUGGCUCGAUCUGCUUAUGCAGUUUAUGGAAUGUCAAGUUUCAGCCUCUUCGUUUUUUAAUUAGUAUACAGGGUGGUCCGCGUUCAAGCCACCUGGAUAUCUUUUCGAAUUGAAAUGAUGGAAAAAAAUAUUUUAUUGCCUAAUAUGAAUGAUAUCGAAAGGCCAAUAAUUGAGAAUCGUGCCAACUGAAUAUAAAGGAAACUCUAACAAUAGCGGAAUUAUGAAUGGACAAAUGAAGGAUAUUGUUGGAUGCCGUAGAGACAGUUCAUACUGGCAGAGUGGACGUGAAUGCGGUAUUUUGACAUGUCAGAUCUUACCUUGAUGAAAAAUAAUAAUCACUCAAACAAAAACUUUGGGACUACCUUCGCUUCUUGGUGUGAAAAAUGAAAUAUCGAUUACACUUGAGACAUGAUAAGUCUUUCACAAAAAAAUUGGUGUCCACGCGUUUGAAGAGGAAAAAUUGUUCACAAAAGACAAAAAAAAAAAAAAAAAAAAAAAAAAAGAGAAGGAGACGCAUACUUACAGUGUC